AUAUUGGUGGUUCAGUGGUAGAAUUCUUGCCUACCAUGCAGAAGAGUUUCGGAUUUGAUUCCAGCCAAUAUG
rnacentral:tRNA from 1 species